GGUUCAUUAAUCUACUUGUUGAUUUUAUCUUGGCCACUUGGUUUAUCUACAUUGGUGGUAUGCUCCAUAUUAGCAACAGUUAUGUUACGUUAUGGAAGGUACCAGAAAAAGGCAGCAAGGUUGAUCCAAGAAGUCACUGCUUCUGCAAAUGAUGUAGCCCAAGAGACAUUCUCUCUUAUUAGAAUUGUGCGAGUUUAUGGAACAGAAGAAGAAGAACAUGGAAGGU